rnacentral:rRNA from 1 species
AACGAACGCUGGCGGCAUGGUUAAGACAUGCAAGUCGUACGGACCAUGUAGCAAUAUGUGGUUAGUGGCGAAAGGGAGAGUAAUCCAUAGGUAAUGUAUCCUUAACACCGGGAUAACGCCGGGGGCAACCCCUUUGCGAAAGUGGCGCUAAUACCGGAUGACGUUGUCGGGCGGCAUCGCCUGGCAACCAAAGGGCGGGGAUCGUAAGACCUGCCGGUUUUUGAGCAGCCUAUGUCCUAUCACCUAGUUGGCGAGGUAACGGCUCACCAAGGGAGCGACGGGUAGCGGGUGUGAGAGCAUGACCCGCCUCAUCGGGACUGAGACACUGCCCGGACACCUACGGGUGGCUGCAGUAACGAAUAUUGGGCAAUGGGCGCAAGCCUGACCAGCAAUGCCGCGUGUGGGAGGAAGUCCCUCGGGAUGUAAACCACUUUUAGGGGUGGACAAGCAUUCGGGUGAAUAAUCCGGAAAGUUGAGUUGCCCCAGAAAAAGCCUCGGCUAACUCUGUGCCAGCAGC